rnacentral:rRNA from 1 species
UCGGGAAUUUUGGGCAAUGGGGGAAACCCUGAUGCAGCGACGCCGCGUGAGUGAUGAAGGCCUUCGGGUCGUAAAGCUCUGUCGUAUGGGACUAACAAAAUGAAGGUACCAUGCAAGAAAGGAUCGGCUAACUUCGUGCCAGCAGCCGCGGUAAGACGAGGGAUCCUAGCGUUGUUCGGAAUUAUUGGGCGUAAAGCGGGUGUAGGCGGACUUAUAAGUCAGGUGUGAAAUCCCAGGGCUCAACCCUGGAAGUGCACUUGAUACUGCAAGUCUUGAGUGUGGUAGAGGCUAUUAGAAUUCCUGGUGUAGUGGUGAAAUACGUAGAUAUCAGGAGGAAUACCGGAGGCGAAGGCGGAUAGCUGGGCCAACACUGACGCUGAGACCCGAAAGCGUGGGGAUCAAACAGGAUUAGAUACCCGGGUAGUCCCUGAGCGG